CGGGGGCGGGAGCGGGACACCGCGCUGCACCGAAUCAGCUGGAGCAUCACCCAGCCUUCUCUCCUGAUUUGGUCACGGCAGCGCAGCGCUCCCGCUCCCGUCGCACGGAUGCAGUCCCCCUGGCCAGGACACCUGUUUUCUGCUGGCAAAGCUCAAGAAGCCUUUGCAGCUUCAGCCCCCGGACAAGGGAAGAGAUAAUGCAAGGGACCCUGAGGAAGGUGAAGAAGGAGGUGCAAAGAGGAGGUUGAAACAUUCGUCCAACAACAAUACUCUUCCAACAUUUAUCAUUGUCGCCUGUUCAUUAAGCACUGGAUAUGGAAUUACAGCUCUACCAAAGAAAGAACAUAUCUAGGCUCUUCCCAUCUAACAGAACACUCUUUCAUCCUGUUAUGUAAAUAGCCUCUUGGAAACCAUCCUAAGUCAGCAAGACUGAAGCAGCAUCUGAUAUAAUAAGUUAAUACUUCCAGCCUAAGAAUUCAGAGAAAAAAAAAAAUUAGAAGAAGAAAAAAGUGGCUUUCACAAGUAAUGGGAUCAAGCUGAUAGGUCCAGUGAUGGUGCAUUGUACUCAUGGAUAUAAUCAAAUACUGCAGAGGGUUGUAAGUCCAAUA
rnacentral:lncRNA from 1 species